AAAGUGUAACAAGUCUCCGUAGGUGACCUGCGGAGGGAUCAUUAAG
rnacentral:rRNA from 1 species